GAUGAACGCUGGCUACAGGCUUAACACAUGCAAGUCGAGGGGAAACGACGGGGAAGCUUGCUUCCUCGGGCGUCGACCGGCGCACGGGUGAGUAACGCGUAUCCAACCUGCCUCUGACUGAGGGAUAACCCGUCGAAAGUCGGCCUAAUACCUCAUGGCAUCGUCUGCGGGCAUCCAACGACGAUUAAAGAUUUCAUCGGUCAGGGAUGGGGAUGCGUCUGAUUAGCUGGUUGGCGGGGUAACGGCCCACCAAGGCGACGAUCAGUAGGGGUUCUGAGAGGAAGGUCCCCCACAUUGGAACUGAGACACGGUCCAAACUCCUACGGGAGGCAGCAGUGAGGAAUAUUGGUCAAUGGGCGAGAGCCUGAACCAGCCAGGUAGCGUGCAGGAUGACGGCCCUAUGGGUUGUAAACUGCUUUUAUGCGGGGAUAAAGUGAGGGACGUGUCCUUCAUUGCAGGUACCGCAUGAAUAAGGACCGGCUAAUUCCGUGCCAGCAGCCGCGGUAAUACGGAAGGUCCGGGCGUUAUCCGGAUUUAUUGGGUUUAAAGGGAGCGUAGGCCGUGGAUUAAGCGUGUUGUGAAAUGCAGGUGCUCAACGUCUGCACUGCAGCGCGAACUGGUCCACUUGAGUGUGCACAACGCAGGCGGAAUUCGUCGUGUAGCGGUGAAAUGCUUAGAUAUGACGAAGAACUCCGAUUGCGAAGGCAGCUUGCGGGAGCACAACUGACGCUAAAGCUCGAAAGUGCGGGUAUCGAACAGG
rnacentral:rRNA from 1 species